rnacentral:rRNA from 1 species
UACGGAGGGAGCUAGCGUUGUUCGGAAUUACUGGGCGUAAAGCGCGCGUAGGCGGCUUUGUAAGUGAGAGGUGAAAGCCCGGGGCUCAACCCCGGAACUGCCUUUAAGACUGCAUCGCUUGAAUCCGGGAGAGGUGAGUGGAAUUCCGAGUGUAGAGGUGAAAUUCGUAGAUAUUCGGAAGAACACCAGUGGCGAAGGCGGCUCACUGGACCGGCAUUGACGCUGAUGUGCGAAAGCGUGGGGAGCAAACAGG